GCAGGGAUGAGGGGCCCCAUCCUGUGCCCAGGGGGCCCCAUCAGGUGGAGGGAAAGCCUGCACCCACUUCUGUUCACCCCCAUGCAUGUGACAGCCUCUGAUGUGGAUGUCAUGGCUCUAGAGCCAAGGACGCAGGAGUGAGGCAGAAAAGUCCCCUGGACAGAACGGAAGUGAGAAGGAUCCAAGUGAGGAUUUAAUUUCAGGUCGAAGUAAAAGCCAUGAAGAGGAAGAAAACAUCGCAGGGCAGGAGAUGGCGUGGGGUGCAGCAGGGACCCCGAGAGCAGCUGGAGGGGACGCAACGCACUCGGGGAGGGUCGGGCUGGGUCAGGCAUGAUGGGGAACCCGUGCAAGUGCAGUGGGCAAGAGCAGCAAGAAGGCUGGUGAGGAUGCGCCAGGGAAGGUCAGGGAGGCAGGAGGGGCAGGGGCUGGCAAGGGUUUGGCUCUAAAUAUGACUCUCAGGUGUGGUGACACCUGCCUGUAAUCCCAGCACUUGGGGAGGUCGAGGCAGGAAGAUCACAAAUUUGAGCCCAGCCUGAUCAACUUAGCGACUUAGAAGGAUGCUGUCUAAAAUUUUUUAAAAAAGGCUGGGUGCGCAGCUUGGUGUGAAGGCCCUUGGAUCAACCCCCAGUGCUGGGGGUCGGGGGGAAAGGAUGAUCUUAGUGCAGAGUGUAUACAGGCAAUGUGAAGGGAAGUGGGAAAGGCAAGGAGCAGAUUCCUGGCUCUGGCGGUUCAGCUGAUAACCCGGCUGAGAGGGGCUCUGGCCUCACAGUGCGGAAUCAGCCCAGGAACCAGAAUGGGCUCCAGAGCGCACUGGCCCGUGCAGAGAGCGUCCACGCCCCACGGUCCAGCGAACACAGAGAAAAUGCGGAACAAGAAGGCGACACCACCCACCAGGCGACCACUGCAGGUCAGCCGCCUGAAGGGGAUCCUGUAACCCAGACAGAACAUCAGCCGUGGGUGGGAGUGAGACACAAACCCACCCGUUGCCACUAUGCAGCUUUGGAAUGGCAGUGCGGCUGGGCUGUGAGCAGGGCAGGUGCUGUCGUUUGGGUCUGAAAUGUCCCUAUAGGCUGCCGUAUCCCAGUGGCACCAUGAGGAGGCGGUGGAGCUCUCCGGAAGUGGGGCCUUGGUGGGCGGAAAUGAGGUCACUAGGGGCGUGGCCUCACAGGGAUCUUCGGGACUCUGAGCUCUGACUGUCUUGCUUUUUGCUUCCUGGUCACCCUGGGCUGAGCCCCUCUUCUGGAAGUGCUCCCCAGAAGAAAGAUUCUGGAUUAACACAUGCAGCUGUCGCUGAAGUUACUGGCAGAACCCUAAGUACAAGGCUGGAAAGAAGCUGGCUUGAAACCCUCCUGCAAACAUACUCUGCUUGAAUCUAAUGAAGGUGCUUCUCAAGGAUCUUGCCUUACACACGAGGUUGGGAAACACCAGUCUACAGGAGUCCUGUCCGAUGCAGAGUGGCCCCAAGAGGACACUCAGUGCUGAGUGACAUCUCUCAGAGAGUUCCAGAAGAACGUAUAUGAGAAAAGAGGAAAUUGUCCUUGUCCUACACACAGAGGGGCCGCACGAGUGUUCAAGGCCAGAGGUAUGGCUGAAACCGUUCUUCUGGCUGUAGCUGCCUGGGGAGCUCUGCUGGCCGAAAUGCAGGAAAAGCUGAGCGUGUGCCUCUGUUUGCCAAGCUUUUGUCACAGCGAGAGCCACAAGGCAUGGGUUUAUGUUGCCGGGACACCCUGAGCUGGCUCCAUGCAGCUUUAUUCCUUUGUUCUCAGCUCCCUUCCCCAAAACCACCUGCAACUGCGUUUUGUGAAUGAACUGCUCACAUCUGCUGGGAGAUAAAACUCCAUGAUCUUCAAAACCCUCAACUGCCACCAUGCUGGGAGUCAGAGAGGGCAAAGGAAAGGUUCUUUUAAAAAUUUUUUAUACUACUUUCCUAGAAGAGUUCACAUACUUAGGUAAAUAAAGAUAACCAAGCAGUGUCUUUGCAAAGAUCUGCGCUCGCCUGUUCAGCCACUGAACAGAAGAGGCCUCAGUUCAUCAGAAAAGCCAAGGGGAAAAGGAAGAGGAGAAGCCUGACGGGUUACAGACCGGAGCUGGGUCACUGCUUCCAAACAGACCUAAACUGCGAGAUGCUUGCAGUUUCUUUUUAAAAAUAAAGGGUCUCUUCUAAAAGCAAAGUAUGUAUACUGCAGAAAAUUUGGAAAAUGAAGAAUGAAAACAAUUUCCCUUCAAUAUCAAAGAUAACUGCUCUAAUAUCCUACUGCAUUUCCUUUCAGAUUUUUUUCUGGGCACAGUUUCUGGAGACAUGAGGGGUGAAGUGUGUGUGUGUGUGUGUGUACACAGAUCCAUAUUCUUACACUGCUUCAAUGUACUGCACGUGUCUAGCUGAAAUUCACUAUGAGAAACCCCUGCAUAUUUAUUACACACUUUUUCUGAACACAAUUUUUACAGCCACCUUCAUAGGCCAUGAAGUAGACGCUCCAUAAUGGACCUAACUUUCUCUCAACUGGUAGACAAACAUGCCAAGGUUGUUCAAAUCUUUCACCGUCACAGAAAAAGUGCAUCGAUCAAGAUCCAGUAUCAAGGUGGUGUUGACAUUGAUGGAGCUGUGCGACCUGAGUUUGUACCCUGGAACCCUAUGACAUGCGUGGAAAAUAACCUAAAAAAUAGACAAAGGACUUCAUCCUCUGUCAUGACGAUGCCCAGUGUCACACAUUGCUUCUGGUAUGGGAGUUUCUGUUGAGUAAAAACAUGGCCUGCUGUCAUCCACUUUAUUCACUGGUGUGGCACUGUGCAAUUUCUGGUUCUUCCACGAAGUCACAAUAACCACAAAAGGGAAAUAUUAUGAAUCCAUUCGGGGGAUUGAUGCAGCAAGGCCUGCGCAACUUCUGGUCCUCUUGCCUCAGCUUCUCCAGUGGCUGGGACUACAGCCAGAAGCUGCACGGUGCCAGAUCCGGUGAAUAAGGCGGGUGAGGACGCAGCGUCAUGUUUGUACGAGCUGCCUUUCUGGAGGAGGGCCCUUGGCAGCAGCGUGCACUGUUCUGUUGAUCACACCUUGUGAAGACACUCAGGAAAGAGCACUUCCAGAACUGCUUCAGAGUAGCAAGAACAAUGGGAUAUGUGUGUUUAAGAGGUGAUGAGCUAAUUUUUAUAAAGAUCAAAAUUCCAGGCCUGAUGGUGAAUGCCUGUAAUCCCAGCACUCUGGCAGGAGGAUUGCAAGUUUGAGCCCACCUGGGGAAUUUAGAUGAAGAUGUCAGAUUUUAAACUGAAUAGGCCAUCGUUCACUUGAAUUCAGUAUGAUUCUAGUUUCUACAAGUGAUUUAUAGGAGAAAAUAUCUCUGAUAUAGCGAAAGCCAUCUCCUGUUUGAACAGCCUGGAGUGUGCACAUUGUUUUGCUUCGAAGAGAAAACUCCUGUCCUCCGAACAAUGACAAGGUUGCAACUGUACUUGGAAGUUUCAAAUUAUCCUUAGAGACUGUCUUCCAUGAAAAUCGAAUGUGGUGCUGGAAAAAGGACAUAUCAUUGAGGAUCCAUUCAGAACAGCGAUCCUUUCUGUGCUUACUUAAGGCUCAGCGACCACACUGCGGGACGCAGUAUCAGUGCUCCCAGUACCUGUGCCAUCUCACUAAGCAUCCCUGGGAAGGAUGCUGUCCCAAUGCAGGUCAGCACCACAGCACAGGGACUAACAUCAGCCAGUUACCUGGUACCUUCCUGCUGGAGGGAGUCAGAUCCCUUGUUUUAAACAUAUUAAAAGUCAUACAUUGGGUAUAAAUCUUUUCCAAAAACAUUUUUAUCUCUCUUUUGUUUGGGACAUGGUCUUGCCAUGUGACUCAGGUUGGCCUGGAAGUCACAGUAAUCCUCCUGCCUCUGCCUCCCACAUGCUGGGAUUACAAGUGUGUGCCACCACACCCGGCUGCCAAGAAAAUUUUAAAUCCACUACUGUAUUCUGCAUGUAUGAUGACACAUGAACUUGUAAACUGUUUCAUAGUUUUGAGACAAGGCAUGACUUUUCGGCUGUGCAGAAUAAAGAUACCUUUUGAGAAGUUUUAUUGUAAAAAAGGUGAGGAUGAACCAAGGCUGAACUGGGCCACAAUGAGGCUUCAAUUGUUUUGCUGAGAUUGGGCUGAUGGCACCACUCUAAUCAGCACAGCUGGGUCUGCAUGCACAGCUAGAGGCUUCUCUCCAGUACAGGAGGGAAGGCUCACUGCUGGGGCCCUCAGGCCAGCCUUCCCUGACGCUCUGUGCCUGGAGCUGGUGUGGGCGUGGCCUUUGACCCGCAGGACUCCAUGAGAGCAGAGUGCAGGCUUGAUGGCAGGGACAGAAUGGAACAGAGGUGCUACUUCAAGGUCACUCUGACAGCUGUGUGCUUCAGGGAUCAGCUUAGCAUUUCACCACCAUCUCACGCAUGCCGGAACCACACCGUGUCCCCACUUCCACCACGGUCAGGUUGCAGUCACCACCACUACCCACACCAGCAGCAUCCAUUUGUACCUCGGUGGUCACACACCCUUCCUUCCAGUCUAGCCUCUGCUGCUCGCUUUCUAUCCGUUCCAAUCUUUCCCACAUGUGGUUACUGGAUUAAUUAUCCUGCAUCAGAGUUCUGAUUAUAGCUGUCCUGCCUUAGAUCUAAAAUGUCCCCCAGAGUCUCAUGGGGCUUUUGGAAGGUGACUGGGUCAUGUGGGGAGUGGUGUCCUCUUCAGGGAGUCACUGAUGAGUUCACAGAUGAAUGUGCUGUUGGGAGGCAGGGCUGAACAGAGGAGGUGGGUUGCUAGUGGCCCAACCUGCAAGGCUGCCAGGAGGUGGGCAGCCUUCCUCUGCCAGGCCCUUCCGCCAUGAUGGUCCGCCAUGAUGGUUCCGCCAUGAUGGUUCCGCCAUGAUGGUUCUACCUUGGAACUGGCCAACCAUGGACUGAAACUGUAAGCCAAAACAAACCUCUCCUUUAAGUUGUAGGUGUAGAUAUUUUAGCCAAGUGAUGGGAAAGUGACUUAUACAAUACCCCUUACUGCUUAAACACUGGCAUUUUACUAGUCUUUGCUUAAUGUCUUUCCUAGUGACUGAAGUCCAGGUUCCUGGGGCUGGCAUGCAAAGACAUUUAUUAUAAAAGUCUCCAGGACAGUCUUCAGAAUGGCUCUCCCAUGGCUACCCCUCAAAUUUUCUGGGUUCCAACAAGCCAGAGCACUCAUUAUUGCUUGAAUACGCUUUAGGCUGGCAUUUUCCAAAGUUCAAAUUAAAUGCUGUUUUAUCAGAAUCCUUGGGAUGUUUGUUAAAAUGUGCAUUCCUAGAUUUGGUUCCUAGAAGCUUUCUCUUUAAAGUUCUAGGUACUUAUCUUUUUGUCCUUCACACUGGUAUCUUAUUUACAGUUAUGUGGCUACAGGGAAAGUCCCAUUUACAUGUCUUACAGGUGUUUAUAGGACUAAUCUUAUGUGGAUAUAAAGCAACUGGCAGAUCGACCAGUUACGUUCCUAAGCAAAGGUGGCUCCAAUGGUUAACUCCAAGAGUUUUUGUGGUGGUCAAAUAGAUAAUGUUUGUGACAGGAUUUUUAUGUUUCUCAUAAGCCCUGCAUGAAACUGUAAACCUUUACAGGUAUUAUGCUACUCCUAAUGGCAUUACUUGAAAAAUCUCAUCAGUGUUUUGCUUAAUAAAUAUUAAUUGAAUUAA